rnacentral:lncRNA from 1 species
GACCACCUAUUGGAGGUCGGCAAUGGAGUAUAGCUUCAAGAUUGCAAGAAGCUGCAACCUUACGUUAUUCAGAAGACAUACCUAGAAGAUGGGGUCGAUGAGGGGUUUCCCUAUUCAAAACAAAGAGAUGGGGAUAAUUCAGAACAGAGAGCGCUAGCGAGAGAGAGCUGCUCGAAAGGGAUACAACAGCACGAGAUAGAGAGAGAGAGAGAGAGAGAGAGAGAGAGAGAGCUGAGCUACAACUGCAAUGGUCAUAAAGACUCAUAGUAAGCCACCAAAUACCAAUUAAUAACUGCUACAAAAAUCAUAAUAAACUAGAAAUACAACAGCACUAAAAUGCCAAUACAACAUCACUAAAUUAGCAAUACACCAGAAGAAAAAAAAAAGAAAAAAAAAAGCAAUACGACAUUAAUAGCAACAGCAAAACAACAGCAGUGCAAGCAUCAAUCCACAAAGAACAAACCCAUUCUUCAAACAAGGAAUCAUCAAAAUAAGACAAUUUCAGAGAAACCCGGAAACCAAUUUCAAUGAAACCCUGAAACCAAAUUCAGAGAAACCCCUAAUCCCUAAACCAAUUUCGAACAAAC